UUAUCCUCUUCAUGGGCUUUCCGAAGCUCGGCCCAUUGUUCACUUUCGAACCGUUGUUGACUUUACCGAACUCCUCACCUCGUUGGAGUAAGAGCAUGGACUUCGGUUCGUCAUUAAUUUUCCGUUCACUCAUCUUCCUUCAUACCUUAUGCUUACAUGACAAUCUUCGGUUGGAUCUAAGUACUAGGUUUGGGGUCAGACACCAACAAAAAUU